UACGGAGGGUGCAAGCGUUAUCCGGAAUUACUGGGUUUAAAGGGUGCGUAGGCGGCUUGAUAAGUCAGGGUUGAAAGCCUAUCGCUUAACGAUAGAAUUGCCUUUGAUACUGUAAAGCUUGAAAGGGGUUGAGGUCAGCAGAAUGUGGCAUGUAGCGGUGAAAUGCAUAGAUAUGCCAUAGAACACCGAUUGCGAAGGCAGCUGACUGGGCCUACUUUGAAGCUGAGGCACCAAAGCGUGGGGAGCGAACAGG
rnacentral:rRNA from 1 species